GACAGCAGUCGCCGCGGGAAUACGGAGGGUGCAAGCGUUAAUCGGAAUUACUGGGCGUAAAGCGCACGCAGGCGGUCUGUCAAGUCGGAUGUGAAAUCCCCGGGCUCAACCUGGGAACUGCAUUCGAAACUGGCAGGCUAGAGUCUUGUAGAGGGGGGUAGAAUUCCAGGUGUAGCGGUGAAAUGCGUAGAGAUCUGGAGGAAUACCGGUGGCGAAGGCGGCCCCCUGGACAAAGACUGACGCUCAGGUGCGAAAGCGUGGGGAGCAAACAGGAUUAGAUACCACCGUAGUCCCUGUCUCUUAUAC
rnacentral:rRNA from 1 species